GGGAAAUCCUACCAUUUGUGACAAUUUGGGUGACCUGGAAGAUGCUACACUGAAUGAAAUAAGUCAGUCACAGAAGAACAAAUACUGCAUGAUUCCACUUAUGUGAAGUAUCUAAAAUAGCCACACUCAUGGAAGCAGAGAACAGCAUCAUUGUUGCCAAGGGAUGGGGCAAAAGGAAAUGCACCCAUGCAGCAUCUCUGUCAUGAACUUCAGAUUAGAGCACUGAGGAUCAUGGAUAAGGAAGAGGCUCUCAGAGUCUAAGGAAGACAACAGACAAUGUUAUAGAAAAUGAGUUUAUGGGAUGAAUAUGAAGAUGAGAGAGAAUCUGUGGAAUUUUGAGAAGAGAGAAUCCAACAAAUUGCCUCUGGUGAGUGUUAAAGUAGUUUGAGUAGGAUAAUACAGUAGGAUUCCUGGGACAGCACUUAAAACUCAAUUAUUAGUUAUAAAUUUACAGUCAAUCCAGAUUCCUAUUGCUGCCAUAACAAACUAGCACGAUCGUAGUGAUUUCAUGUAACAUAAAUUUAUUAUUUUCCAAUUCUGUAAGUCAGAAGACU
rnacentral:lncRNA from 1 species